AACGCGAAGAACCUUACCUGGGUUUGACAUGGAUCGGGAGCGCUCAGAGAUGGGUGUGCCUCUUUUGGGGUCGGUUCACAGGUGGUGCAUGGCUGUCGUCAGCUCGUGUCGUGAGAUGUUGGGUUAAGUCCCGCAACGAGCGCAACCCUUGUUCACUGUUGCCAGCACGUUAUGGUGGGGACUCAGUGGAGACCGCCGGGGUCAACUCGGAGGAAGGUGGGGGUGACGUCAAGUCAUCAUGCCCCUUAUGUCCAGGGCUUCACGCAUGCUACAAUGGCUGGUACAGAGAGUGGCGAGCCUGUGAGGGUGAGCGAAUCUCGGAAAGCCGGUCUCAGUUCGGAUUGGGGUCUGCAACUCGACCUCAUGAAGUCGGAGUCGCUAGUAAUCGCAGAUCAGCAACGCUGCGGUGAAUACGUUCCCGGGGCUUGUACACACCGCCCGUCAAGUCAUGAAAGUUGGUAACACCCGAAGCCGGUGGCCUAACCGUUGUGGGGAGCCGUCGAAGGUGGGACUGGUGAUUAGGACUAAGUCGUAACAAGGUAACCUUAAUUAAAA
rnacentral:rRNA from 1 species